UUCUUGGUGGCUCAGUGGUAAAGAACCUACCUGCCAAAGCAGGAGAUGCAGGUUUGAUCCCUGCUCAGGAAG
rnacentral:tRNA from 1 species